rnacentral:tRNA from 1 species
UAAACUUUAAGUUAUAUAAACUAAAAGCCUUCAAAGCCUUAAAAAAGAAAAUCUUAAGUUUAA